rnacentral:rRNA from 1 species
AUGAGCUUGAUAAGGAUGUUGAGUGAGGGGCCCGAGGGUCUCAACACCGAAGAAGGUCCCGACAAUAAGAGGUGUCAGCAUAACAAGAGCACCCGGGGGGAUCAUCUCCUUGAUGGACGCAUCAGUGGAGAUCUUCACACAUGUCGCAUAGUCGGGCUUGGCGGUGCCCUCCAUGAGCCCAGGGAUGGUGUUGAACUGCCUCCGCACUUCCUCCACCAUCUUGAGAGCCGCACUUCCAACACUCUUCAUGGUCAUCGCAGAGAACCAGUACGGGAGCAUAGCGCCAACAAGGAGUCCAAUGAAAACGUUUGGUGUCAGAACAUCAACAUUGUGUUUCCUGCAGCAUCCAGAGCAUCAGUUCUUUCACGGAUUCUGUGGCUCAUGCCAGCCAUUUCAGCAAUGCCUCCAGCGUUGUCACUGAUAGGGCCAUAG